AUCCUCUCCUCAGUGAAGACAUGAAAACACACUUGGAAUUUGCAAAAAGUUGUGAAUACUUUCUGGAUGCACUGUAAAGAAGAGGUAAUUGAAACAUAUACAUAACAACAGAAGUUGUGCCAUAUAUGUGGUGGUGUUGGUGGUGACCAUGUUGCUUGACCCAUUUACAUGUUUGCAGCGCUACAUUCCUACUGCACUAUUUCUCACUGUGUAUAUUUAUUGAAUUAUAUUGCAUGUUGAAAAGGUGAAAGUGAAAGAAACAGGAACGUGAUGAUGCGUCUGAAAGUCUCGAAAGUGAAAGAUUGUUAUAUUGUGUUAGAAAACAGAGAGGAGAGCAGUUCGGAACUAAACUUGAAAUGUAUCAUUAAAUUAAGACUGAUGUGAACUCCACCGAAGAACCAAAACACCAACGCCCUAUGAUUACUGGUGUUCUGGAUCCAGACUGGAGCUUGUGUAAAUCAGUCAGGAGUGUGAUGCCUCUCCAGCCCUCCUGAUGAAGAUCACAGUAGAUACUGGAGUGCUGGACGGGGAGCAGGUGACUGUGAUCAACACUCCUGACUGGUUCAGCUGUGCGCUCAACCCAGAUGAAAUAAAAUAAAAAAUAAAUGUCUGUAUUGGUCCUUUUACUCAGGGACCUCACGCUUUACUACUAGUCAUACCAGGAGUGCAGUGUGAAAAGAAGCCAGAGAUAGAGAAU